CGCUCGGCGCGAACCCGGGCUGGUUGUGCGGAGUCAGUGGCUGCUCGUCGUGGCCAGGACUUGGUGCUCACGGUGGCCAGGAAAGCAAGUGAACCAAAACGAUUCGGUGUUUCGAGCACAACCGGUUCAGUGAAACAGUGAGUGAACCAGCGAGAUAAACAAAGAAGAGGGAAAGAAAAUUCGCAAUGAAAAGCCUGGUUAGUGUGGAACGUGAGGGAGAUAUAAGGCUCAAAAUCGUGUAAAAGGAAGUGGAGACAAACCCUUAAUAGCGCUAUAAGGAAAGUGUAGAUAAGCCUUAUCAUACAGUGAUAUGGAAAAACCCUCUUGGAGUCUCCUUAAAUUCUAAUAAUAGAGGAAAUAGAGUGGAAAGAAA
rnacentral:lncRNA from 1 species